AUUGAACGCUGGCGGCAGGCCUAACACGUGCAAGUCGAACGGUAACAGGAAACAGCUUGCUGUUUCGCUGACGAGUGGCGGACGGGUGAGUAAUGUCUGGGAAACUGCCUGAUGGAGGGGGAUAACUACUGGAAACGGUAGCUAAUACCGCAUAACGUCGCAAGACCAAAGAGGGGGACCUUCGGGCCUCUUGCCAUCGGAUUUGCCCAGAUGGGAUUAGCUUGUUGGUGGGGUAACGGCUCACCAAGGCGACGAUCCCUAGCUGGUCUGAGAGGAUGACCAGCCACACUGGAACUGAGACACGGUCCAGACUCCUACGGGAGGCAGCAGUGGGGAAUAUUGCACAAUGGGCGCAAGCCUGAUGCAGCCAUGCCGCGUGUAUGAAGAAGGCCUUCGGGUUGUAAAGUACUUUCAGCGGGGAGGAAGGGAGUAAAGUUAAUACCUUUACUCAUUGACGUUACCCGCAGAAGAAGCACCGGCUAACUCCGUGCCAGCAGCCGCAGUAAGAC
rnacentral:rRNA from 1 species